CAUAUUUUAUGCAAUGUCAUUAGAUCUUUAAUUCAUAAUUUCAGAUCUAAUUGAUUCUACACUUAAUUCUCAAUUAAGUUUCAGCAUUAACAUGGGUUUAGGUUUAGGUUUGAAAUAAUUUUAACCUUUUCAUUUUGUAAAUAAUUUACAACAAAUAUUAUGCAAAGAUUUUGUAUUUUGAAAUUGGAUCAACUCAAUCACCAUUGAGCCAGCUACACAAGGGGACU
rnacentral:lncRNA from 1 species